UACACCUAGAAGAUUUCACUCAAAAUGAACACUUUGA
rnacentral:tRNA from 1 species